rfam:Macrostomum lignano uti_cns_0049189, whole genome shotgun sequence.
UCUUCAUUCCACGAUUAAAUCUUUCGCCUUUUACUAAAGAUUUCCGUGGUGA